AGUUAAUGAACUUGAUAUAAGUAUAUGUUUUGAAAGCAUAAUAAAGGAGUAAAAUCUUCUAUUAACUU
rnacentral:tRNA from 1 species